AUUGAACGCUGGCGGCAGGCCUAACACAUGCAAGUCGAGCGGAUGAAGGGAGCUUGCUCCUGGAUUCAGCGGCGGACGGGUGAGUAAUGCCUAGGAAUCUGCCUGGUAGUGGGGGAUAACGUCCGGAAACGGGCGCUAAUACCGCAUACGUCCUGAGGGAGAAAGUGGGGGGUCUUCGGACCGCACGCUAUCAGAUGAGCCUAGGUCGGAUUAGCUAGUUGGUGGGUUAAAGGCCUACCAAGGCGACGAUCGGUAACUGGUCUGAGAGGAUGAUCAGUCACACUGGAACUGAGACACGGUCCAGACGCCUACGGGAGGCAGCAGUGGGGAAUAUUGGACAAUGGGCGAAAGCCUGAUCCAGCCAUGCCGCGUGUGUGAAGAAGGUCUUCGGAUUGUAAAGCACUUUAAGUUGGGAGGAAGGGCAGUAAGUUAAUACCUUGCUGUUUUGACGUUACCAACAGAAUAAGCACCGGCUAACUUCGUG
rnacentral:rRNA from 1 species